rnacentral:rRNA from 1 species
CAGCACCAAUAGCGUAUAUUAAUGCUGCUGCUGUUAAAAAGCUCGUAGUUGGAUCAAGAGUCGGACAGUGCACGGUGGCCCCAUUAGCCAGUUUGGCUCCGGUCAUAUUGGCGGUGGCGGAUCAACCCCGUGCGCCAAACUGUCCGCUCUAACAGACCGAAACGGUUCCCUGUGAGUAGGCCCCUUCAUUGGGGUCGAAAGCGCCUACGCAUCAACCAUAUGCAUACGGGACGUCGGUCAAAGUUACUGUGAACAAACCAGCGUGUCCAAAGCAGGCUUUCGCCUGAAUGUUCGAGCAUGGAAUAACAAGGGAUCGAUUCUCUCGGUUCUUUUUGUUGGUUUUUAACCCGAGAAGGAGUAAUUCAGGCCACGGUGUCUGAGUUGGGUUUCCCGAGGCUUCGGCUGAGGCCCCAAUUAGGCCGUGUCCUUACGGGAUCAAUAGGGACUGACGGGGUCGUACGUACUUCCGCGUCAGAGGUGAAAUUCUUAGAUCGCGGGAAGACGAACUUCUGCGAAAGCAUUCGACAAGAAUGUCUUCAUUAAUCAAGAACGAGAGUGUGGGGAUCGAAGAUGAUCAGAUACCGUCGUAGUCCACUACUGUAAACAAUGCCGUCUCAGGAUUGAGAAGUGAACUGAAUGACUUUCACAGCACUAACCCCUGAAACGAGAAAUCAAAGAUUAUGGGUUCAGGGGGGAGUACAUUCGCAAGGCUGAAACUUAAAGGAAUUGACGGAAUGACACCACAAGGCGUGGAGUAUGCGGCUUAAUUUGACUCAACACGGGGAAUUUUACUAGGUCAGGACAAUGUAAGGAUUGACAGAUUGAGAGCUCUUUCUCGAUCCAUUGUGUGGUGGUGCAUGGCCGCUCCUGGUUGGUGGAGUGAUUUGUCUGGUUGAUUCCGUUAACGAACGAGAUCUCGACCCUUAAAUAGGUGCCCGUGUCGAUCGAUUUCACUCCUGCUCGGCUUG